UGGGGAAUAUUGGACAAUGGGGGAAACCCUGAUCCAGCGACGCCGCGUGUGUGAAGAAGGCCUGCGGGUUGUAAAGCACUUUUAGUGGGGACAAAAAGUCACGGAUUAAUACUCUGUGAUCUUGAUUUAACUCACAGAAAAAGCACCGGCUAACUCUGUGCCAGCAGCCGCGGUAAUACAGAGGGUGCGAGCGUUAAUCGGAAUUACUGGGCGUAAAGCGCGCGUAGACGGUUUUGUAAGUCAGAUGUGAAAUCCCCGGGCUCAACCUGGGAACUGCAUUUGAAACUGCAUGGCUAGAGUAUCGAAGAGGGAAGUGGAAUUUCCGGUGUAGCGGUGAAAUGCGUAGAUAUCGGAAGGAACACCAGUGGCGAAAGCGACUUCCUGGUCGAAUACUGACGUUCAUGUGCGAAAGCGUGGGGAGCAAACAGGAUUAGAUACCCUGGUAGUCCACGCCAUAAACGAUGACAACUAGAUGUUGGGAGGGUCUGCCUCUCGGUGUCGCAGCUAACGCGUUAAGUUGUCCGCCUGGGGAGUACGGCCGCAAGGUUG
rnacentral:rRNA from 1 species